AGUGAACGCUGGCGGUAGACCUAACACAUGCAAGUCGAACGGCAGCACAGUAAGAGCUUGCUCUUACGGGUGGCGGGUGGCGGACGGGUGAGGAAUACAUCGGAAUCUACUUUUUCGUGGGGGAUAACGUAGGGAAACUUACGCUAAUACCGCAUACGACCUACGGGUGAAAGCAGGGGAUCUUCGGACCUUGCGCGAUUGAAUGAGCCGAUGUCGGAUUAGCUAGUUGGCGGGGUAAAGGCCCACCAAGGCGACGAUCCGUAGCUGGUCUGAGAGGAUGAUCAGCCACACUGGAACUGAGACACGGUCCAGACUCCUACGGGAGGCAGCAGUGGGGAAUAUUGGACAAUGGGCGCAAGCCUGAUCCAGCCAUACCGCGUGGGUGAAGAAGGCCUUCGGGUUGUAAAGCCCUUUUGUUGGGAAAGAAAAGCAGCAGGUUAAUACCCCGCUGUUCUGACGGUACCCAAAGAAUAAGCACCGGCUAACUUCGUG
rnacentral:rRNA from 1 species